UAAGCCUACGGGGCGCAGCAGUGGGGGAUAUUGCACAAUGGGCGCAAGCCUGAUGCAGCGACGCCGCGUGAGCGAAGAAGUAUUUCGGUAUGUAAAGCUCUAUCAGCAGGGAAGAAAAUGACGGUACCUGACUAAGAAGCUCAGGCUAACUACGUGCCAGCAGCCGCGGUAAUACGUAGGGGGCAAGCGUUAUCCGGAAUUACUGGGUGUAAAGGGAGCGUAGACGGUAAUGCAAGUCUGGAGUGAAAGGCGGGGGCCCAACCCCCGGACUGCUCUGGAAACUGUGCAACUGGAGUGCAGGAGAG
rnacentral:rRNA from 1 species